rnacentral:rRNA from 1 species
AGUGAACGCUGGCGGCGUGCCUAAUACAUGCAAGUCGAACGGAGUGGCGCACGGGUGAGUAAUCUAUAGCUAAUCUCCCCCUUGCUGGAGGACACCCGUUAGAAAUGACUGCUAAUACUCCAUACCAUGGGAUGAGACCAUAUCGUAUCAGCUAGUCGGUGUGGUAACGGCCUACCGAGGCUAUGACGCGUAACUGGUCUGAGAGGAUGAUCAGUAACAUUGGAACGGAGACACGGGCCAAACACCUACAAGAGUCAGCAGUAGAGGAUAUUACGCAAUGGGAGAGUCCCUGAAGGAGCAACGCCGCGUGAAGGAUGACAAUUUUCGGGGAGUAAGCUCCUUUUAUUAGGGAAGCGGUACCUAACGAAUAAGCACCGGCUAACUCCGUGCCAGCAGCCGCGGUAAUAC